rnacentral:rRNA from 1 species
UACGAGGGGGGCUAGCGUUGCUCGGAAUUACUGGGCGUAAAGCGCACGUAGGCGGACUCUUAAGUCGGUGGUGAAAUCCUGGAGCUCAACUCCAGAACUGCCUUCGAUACUGGGAGUCUUGAGUCCGGGAGAGGUGAGUGGAACUGCGAGUGUAGAGGUGAAAUUCGUAGAUAUUCGCAAGAACACCAGUGGCGAAGGCGGCUCACUGGCCCGGUACUGACGCUGAGGUGCGAAAGCGUGGGGAGCAAACAGG